AGAGUUUGAUCCUGGCUCAGAUUGAACGCUGGCGGCACGCUUAACACAUGCAAGUCGAACGGCAGCACAGCGAGGGGAAACCCUUGUGGGUGGCGAGUGGCGGACGGGUGAGUAGAAUAUAGGGACCUGCCCUGAAGAGGGGGAUAACCCGAGGAAACUCGGGCUAAGACCGCGUAAGCUCUAAGGAGGAAAUCUGCCUGUGAGGGUGGAGCUUUAGGAGGGGCCUAUACCGGAUUAGCUAGUUGGUGGGGUAAAAGCUUACCAAGGCGACGAUCCGUAGCUGGUUUGAGAGGACGGACAGCCACACUGGGACUGAGACACGGCCCAGACUCCUACGGGAGGCAGCAGUGGGGAAUAUUGGACAAUGGGGGAAACCCUGAUCCAGCGAUGCCGCGUGUGUGAAGAAGGCCUGCGGGUUGUAAAGCACUUUUGGUUGGGAAGAAAGGC
rnacentral:rRNA from 1 species